UACGAAGGGGGCUAGCGUUGCUCGGAAUCACUGGGCGUAAAGGGCGCGUAGGCGGCUUGGCAAGUGGAUGGUGAAAUCCCUCGGCUUAACCGAGGAACUGCCGUCCAAACUGCUUCGCUUGAGACCGGGAGAGGUGAGUGGAAUUCCCAGUGUAGCGGUGAAAUGCGUAGAUAUUGGGAGGAACACCAGUGGCGAAGGCGGCUCACUGGACCGGUACUGACGCUGAUGCGCGAAAGCGUGGGGAGCAAACAGG
rnacentral:rRNA from 1 species